rnacentral:rRNA from 1 species
GUAGGUGGCAAGCGUUGUCCGGAAUUAUUGGGCGUAAAGCGCGCGCAGGCGGUUCUUUAAGUCUGAUGUGAAAGCCCACGGCUCAACCGUGGAGGGUCAUUGGAAACUGGAGAACUUGAGUACAGAAGAGGAAAGCGGAAUUCCACGUGUAGCGGCGAAAUGCGUAGAGAUGUGGAGGAACACCAGUGGCGAAGGCGGCUUUUCUGGUCUGUAACUGACGCUGAGGCGCGAAAGCGUGGGGAGCAAACAGGGAUUAGAUACCCUGGUAGUCCACGCCGUAAACGAUGAGUGCUAAGUGUUAGGGGGUUUCCGCCCCCUUAGUGCUGCAGCUAACGCAUUAAGCACUCCGCCUGGGGAGUACGGCCGCAAGGCUG